CUGGAGACCUCAUGAUGAGUCCACUAUUUGGGAAUGAUAAAACCUGUCCAAGUUUUAUUUCUUGUUCUCCAAUUGGGCCCCUCUGCUUUCCAGUGAAUACUUGUUGGCUUUCUCCUCUUCUCUGAUUCACUAAAUGCUCCAUUGCUUUCUUCUGCUUCCUCCUACACAGACACUGAUACAAUGCUCUCAUAUUUAACAUGCUAGCCUGCGGAGACAGUAGAACUGCGAUGCUUCACGGAUAGGCCCUCAACCACAGUGAAAGGCUGCCAGACACAGAGAAGUAAGGUUAGCAAAGCAUGGAAACGAAUUUCAGGCCAAAUGACGAUACAUUCAUGAUCGCUGGACAAUUUUAUUAUCUGGAUCCUGGGGCAGUGCAUGCAGUGUUUGUCCUGGAGCAACCUCCUUAAGGGGCCACCUCUGCUUGAGCAACACGCUGGAAGCUUCAUAGAUAGAGUCUUCUGUGUCCAGGCUGGAGUGCAGUAACGCAAUCUCAGCUCACUGCAACGUCUGCCUCCCGGGUUCAAGCAAUUCUCCUGCCUCAGCCUCCCAAGUAGCUGCGACUAGAGGCGCACACCACCACACCCAGGCGUAAUUAUCAAGGAUGAGUUGGAACACAAAGUAUCAUCUGAAUAAGAAAGAUGAGCCUCACAGCAACUCUCUCCUCUGAGACAAGUUCAACCUUAUAUUAUUACCCCACCACAGUCUACAUCAUCAACAUUUCUAAUGCAAGCUGGUACCUCUAUAUGGAUUGCUGUAUACUCAUUUCUUAAUCAAACACUGUUCUGCUUCCUUUAAGUCUCAAUUCAAAAGUCGUGUCUUUGUGAUUUCCCCAAGUAAAGUGAAUUUCUUUAUCUCUGCAUUCACAUACCUUGUAAUUUACUGCCAAUUUUUCUAUCUUCCUUCCACAGUAGUAGUGAUUCAUCUUAUUUACAUUCAGAACUUAACACAACACUUGACUUUUAAAAAUGUAUGUUGAAUGAACAAUGAAUGGAUGGAUGUGUCAUUUUGGUGUCCCUGGAACAGAUGUUAAGAGCAGACUUUCAGUUUCCCUCACGCUCAGUCUUCUGAAAGUAUUUGUAACUUUUGUGCAUAUUUUCCAAUCUCAACAAGCUCACUAGUAAAAUUUCGAAUUACUCUUCGGGCUAGUAAGAUCUAGAAUAGUGUUAGAAACUAACAGUUAAUAUCAUAUAACCAUUCAUUUAUGCUCAUUCAUGAGGCUCUAACUUGUGUCAAGUAAGAAUCAGUCAGGGCCCAAUGAGAAAACAAAAAGUGAGAAAAAGCUUCUGUCUUUCAAAAACUAAAUGUGGAGGACCACAGCCAGGCCUGCCCUGAGCAGCAUUAUCUGAAGGAGGAAGACAAUGGUAGUAGAUAGACCUUUGAAUGCUGAUGGGGCACCUCCCAAAGCCUUCUGAUGCAACAGACAUCCAGCCCAUAGCUCCAGGCUCAUCUAAUGUGCCAGAUUCUCAUUCUACAUAGGGUGCAUUGAUAGCCUCACUUCAAGCAUGCUUCUAGAAUAAACUAAAGAGACACUGAAAUAGUCCAUCUACUUAUUGAUAUAAUUAUAUGGCACAAACAUCAUUUGCACCAUUUAUUUGUUGAUGUGGCAGUAAAGUAAAAUGAAAGCCACUCUGAACUAACUCUGAGUCCUUUUUCAUGCCAAGCUUCAAAUGCAGCCUGACUCUUAUAUCUGGGGUUCCUCAAACAGAGAAAGAUGUGUGCGUACACACAUACAUACACAGAGUCCACACGUACAUACACAGAGUCCACAGAUCUUUUUGUUUUUCCAAGACUUGUUACAUCAAGGCCCUAAAGACUAGCUGCGGGAGUAUCUCUCGCCUAAUCAAUGCCCCCUACAGAGCUGAACUGCCUCCUACUGUUACCCCUGAGAAGUGAGAACUACCUCUGAAUUCAGUAAGUGUUUGAUGAAUU
rnacentral:lncRNA from 10 species